GGCUCAGUAGCUUAGUUGGUAAAGCAAUCGUCUAGCAUACAAGAGUCCUGGAUUCGAAUUCCAGCUGAGCAC
rnacentral:tRNA from 1 species